AGUGAACGCUGGCGGCAGGCCUAAUACAUGCAAGUCGAACGGCAGCACAGCAGAGCUUGCUCUGUGGGUGGCGAGUGGCGGACGGGUGAGGAAUACAUGGGAAUCUGCCCAGUCGUGGGGGAUAACGUAGGGAAACUUACGCUAAUACCGCAUGCGCCCUUCGGGGGAAAGCCGGGGACCUUCGGGCCUGGCGCGAUUGGAUGAGCCCAUGUCGGAUUAGCUAGUUGGCGGGGUAAUGGCCCACCAAGGCGACGAUCCGUAGCUGGUCUGAGAGGAUGAUCAGCCACACUGGAACUGAGACACGGUCCAGACUCCUACGGGAGGCAGCAGUAGGGAAUAUUGGACAAUGGGCGCAAGCCUGAUCCAGCCAUGCCACGUGAGUGAAGAAGGCCCUCGGGUUGUAAAGCUCUUUUGUCCGGAAAGAAAAGCGCCGGGUUAAUACCCGUGGUGUCCUGACGGUACCGGAAGAAUAAGCACCGGCUAACUUCGUGCCAGCAGCCG
rnacentral:rRNA from 1 species